GUAGGUGGCAAGCGUUGUCCGGAAUUAUUGGGCGUAAAGCGCGCGCAGGCGGUUCUUUAAGUCUGAUGUGAAAGCCCACGGCUCAACCGUGGAGGGUCAUUGGAAACUGGAGAACUUGAGUACAGAAGAGGAAAGCGGAAUUCCACGUGUAGCGGUGAAAUGCGUAGAGAUGUGGAGGAACACCAGUGGCGAAGGCGGCUUUCUGGUCUGUAACUGACGCUGAGGCGCGAAAGCAUGGGGAGCAAACAGGAUUAGAUACCCUGGUAGUCCACGCCGUAAACGAUGAGUGCUAAGUGUUAGGGGGUUUCCGCCCCCCUUAGUGCUGCAGCUAACGCAUUAAGCACUCCGCCUGGGAGUACGGCCGCAAGGCUG
rnacentral:rRNA from 1 species